UUGAAGUGACGAAGAAAUUCAUGGUCUGUCAAUCCACUGAUAGUAAAAAACAUGAUGUUAGUCAUGAAAUCCCGACAGGUUCCGAUCAC